AUGCCAGAUGGUGCGCGGAUAGCUGUAGAAUGCAAUCAUCUUGGCCAGCCUAUUGGGGACGAAGGUGGAGUCCUGGGGAAAUUUCUUGGCACAAUAGCUAGACUUGAGGGCUAUUGUCCACUUGACAAAAAGGACUGGCGUAACGUCAAGAAGGAUGGUGGGGCUGACACAAUACUUCAGUGUGUACAGAGAGUUCAUGCAAAUGGACCUGAUGCAGAACACAUAGUGGUCAAACCCAGAGAUACAACAAUGAAUAAAACUAACCCACAUCAGCAUGGCGCGCACGAAGAUAAUGACAUUCUGUCAGGCAAACAGAAGCAUCAUCUUGAAAAUGAGGGUUGCAAUAAAUUCUCAUAUCAAGUACCAUCAUCACCAGCCCAUCCUGUUUUUGAUAGAGAGAUGAGAAAGAGCAGGGAGAAUAUGGAUGGAAAUUUGACUAGAGUACACAAACAAAGCCCUCAAGACAAGCCAGUAGUCCAUGUGUCCUCUAAGCAGAAACGUAGUCCUUCCAUGGAGGUUGGCACAAAAGUGAUUCUGAAGUCUUCAAUAUAUCCAAACAAAAGGCAUGUGGCACAUGCUACCAUUUUGGGUUGCAAUUCAAAAACAAUGGUUGGUGGUGUUGAGCUAGGUCGGCAGUUCAUAGAAGUGCAAGUUGAUCAACCUAUUGAGGAAUGUGAGCUCUUGCAUGUAUUGAGAGGUUCAGUGGUUGAGUUGAUUCGGAUGCUUUUGCUCAUGAGGAAUCAAGAUGCAAAUAUGACAUAUUCAUUCAAGAAAGAUCUGAGGGGCACAAUCUAG
rnacentral:rRNA from 1 species